UACAGAGGGUGCAAGCGUUAAUCGGAAUAACUGGGCGUAAAGGGUGUGUAGGUGGUUUGUUGAGUUCACUGUGAAAGUUCUAGGCUUAACCUGGAAAGGCCGGUGAAGACGGACGAACUAGAGAACGGUAGAGGGUAGAGGAAUUUCCGGAGUAGCGGUGAAAUGCGUAGAUCCCGGAAGGAACACCGGUGGCGAAGGCGUCUACCUGGACUGUAUCUGACACUGAGACACGAAGGCGUGGGUAGCGAACAGG
rnacentral:misc_RNA from 1 species